UUCCAGCUGUCUCCGAUUCAUGAUUUAUUCCGAUUCCAAGUUAGUAAACGUGCCAUAAAUGAUUUUACUUCUCUUUCUCUCUACUUUGCCGUCCUUCUUCUUUGAGUCCAUCUCGAUUCGAUACCGAUGAGUGCUAUAGAUUUCCUCUCUCCAUCACCUCCUUCAACUAUUUUCCCCUCUCGAUCUGUCAUAUUCUUUGCGGAAUGCAACGCCAUCCAAAUGCGCCAAUUUAGGUUAAAUCCGAUGAGUUUGCCAUGAGAUCCACCAACCAAUCGUUCCUUUCGAAAGCGGCCUCUAUAAAACCCAACAAAAGGGAAAGAUUUGGGUUUUGAUUUGAUUGGGUUUAUGUUAAGUUUCUGUUAAUUUGAUAGGGUCAGUCUCUCAUAUCUUCUAUCACUCUCUUUUCUUUCGUUCUGUCAUGGAACACAAUGGUAAGUCUUUGAUCUUCCUCUUCCUUUCUCAUUUUUCUUGUUCGCUCUAUGUUAUAGGUGAUUUGGAUUUAGGUUCUUGAACAUUCUUGAUCUCAUUAAAAGUUAGGAUAGUAAUUUGGGAUUAAUUUGUCAGGGUACGAGAAUGUGAAAUUGGGGGUUAGGAUUUCUGUUUCUCAAUUUGAAUUUAGGUUACUGGUGAUUGUUGACAGUUAUCUUCUAUGUUUAAUCAUAGAUUGGAGAUAUUGUUAAAAGCAAGACGGUGAGCAUCGCGGAGCCGCAGUUCGCGACAGCAAAAACGUCAAGGUACCCGGUCUCAUUAGUGGACAGCCACACCAUUGCCCAGAACAUAAGAUGAGCCCUUGUCAAAUUGAACUGUGGUAACACCUAAAUCGCAUCUAUAGUCUUGUAACUUUUUUUUUCCCUUCAAUAUGAUUUAAUUGGUUAUUUCUAAAUUUCAAUUGUUUAUUUUUCUUCUCAACCGGGAUGCAAAAUGAAAACCCAGUUAACUAAUGUGUUUUGUUUUGAUUUAUUUAGAGUGUUCAAUGAUGGUUCUGAUUAUAUCGGGCAUAAGUUCUCUAAAUUUUUACUUUCUGUUUUGGUUUCUUCUUAUAAUUAAUCCCUUUUGUGUUCUUGUUAUGCUUACACCUUCAAAGAAGACGUAGUAGUAAGUCAAUAGAGAAGAAUUUUUUCUGGAACACAUUCUAAAACUUCUUAUAAUUGGGUAUUGUACAAUUUUGUUGCUAUUGGUUGAUUAUAAAGUUGCUGGAAGGUUUAAGGAUAACUACGUUGGCUGUAAAAGCAGCUCUUAGACCCACUUAUAAGCUACAAAAUAAUAUAAGCAUGGAGCAUUUAAAUUUGUAAAUGGCUUAGCAACCUCUUGGUACAAACCGAGUCAACAAAUUGAUGAAGGAAAAUUUUCUGCUGACAAGCUUGGUUUCAUAUUGCUGGGAAAAGUUUAGGUGGAUAUUGCCAUGAAAUAGAAGCCCUGUUAUUUGGCCGAUAAGCUAGCAGCCUAGCACUUGCAUAUGGUCAGCAUACUGAUAUUCUGAUUGCCACUGUAACUCUACAACUACAACCCUACUAGCUUGGUAGAUGCCUCCUUUUCUUAUUCUCAAAAGCAGAUCCUUUUGAACCACUUCUUUAUGUUGUUAAUCUUCUGAAUAUCCAAUAAUCAAGUGGAUAUUCACUACCAGGCUGAAUUUGCUACCAGACUGAAUUUGCUUAAAAUAUUUCACUACCAGGCUGAAUUUGCUUUUACCAGGCUAAAAUAUUCCUCUUAAUUACUUUUUGACAUUUUGAGUCAGCAAGUAUUUCUUUCUAUUUCACUACCAGGCUGAAUUUUCUUAAAAUAUUUCACAACGGAUAGAGUCUGAGAUAUGAGUCGAUGGCUAGAUGCAAUACAUUUGAAAUGGAUUUCAAAUAACAAUGUGCAAUGAACUUGGGUUUAAACUGCUCUUCCCAUGAACUUGGGUCUCAUUCGUUCAUUUUUCAUGUUCCUUCAGGAUUACUCUCAGCAGCCCCCUAUGCAGGAAUUAAUUGCAAGGGAUCUUCAUGAUAAUGAAUGGAAAUUCAUACAUAUAUUUCGAGGAGGCUUGCAACAACACUAUAGUAAUUGGUACGUGAAGUAGAUCGAGGGGGUCCCUGCAAAGUUUAUCUUGAAGUAGAGGAAAAUAACCAACUUGUAAAGCUUAAUUAUCUUGUAAAUUUUGGUAGAAGCUCCAUUCCUUUUGUAACAUUCAUGAGGAAAAUUAAAAUGUAACAUUUCCUUUUAUACAAGCUUCAUUCCUUUUG